rnacentral:Y_RNA from 1 species
GGCUGGUCUGAGUGCAGUGGUGUUUACAACUAAUUGAUCACAUCCAGUAACAGAUUUCUUUGUUCCUUUCCACUUCUACUUCUUCACUUGACUAGUUUUAA